UGGGAUUCCCCGGCUGAGCUUCUUCAUCAUCCUCGCCAAAGUGGUGGACUUUCUCAUACUUCUCCAAGUAUCUCAGCCGCAGCAGCAGUAGUUGUGGUGCGGCCAGCCUGUGUGGCCGUGAGUCACCCAGCAAGCGCCUGUUUCUGAAUCAGGCCCCACUUGCUCAUCGUAGCUGAGGUAAUCCCCCGUUCG